ACCGAGCGAAGCCUGCACCGUCUCGGCCGCGGAGAAGGCGAGCAGCGAGCCCUCUUUGGCCAGGAAGCCUUUGCCGUCCUCCGCGUCAGCCUGCAGCGCCUCCGCCUUGUCGAAGUUACCGCCGCCGGGCAGCGGCUGCGGCGCGAACUUGCGGGCCGCUGCCGCCUCCUGGUGCUGGGGCGACGCGGAGAAGCCGCCGGGGAGCGUGGCCAUGAGCGUAGAGGCGCUAAUUAAGCACGUUGCGAACGCAAGGAGUGCUCACCCUGGCGCCGCCGCCCGGUUUCCAGCGCGAGGACUCGAGGGCGCGCGGUUCCUCUUUGCUAACUGCAGGAUGGAGCCGAUCCCCUCAGGAUGUUUCCCCUGUUCUCGACAACGCUCUUGUCUUCCCUUUAAAAAUGGAAUCACUUCUUGACAACGGCAGACCGUGCAGAGCGCACCAGCGCGAGCGGGGCUUCCUCGAGUCUCCAAGGCCCGGGCUUCAACUUCCCGGGUCUAGACGUCAGCCCUGAACCGCCAACAGCACCGGGUUGGGGAGAAGGAAAGAAGGGCAUUGUUAGUUCGGUCAUUAAAAAUCAGCUCACGCCGAGGAGCUAGUGGUUGGGGAGUUGGCCCGUGUUGGACGUGUGUUAUGUAUCACUUACAAGCACAUUUAAUUGGGAGAUAAAGAUAAAUCGAUCUUUAUGAAUUUAUCGACCCGAUUCUUUGAAGCUCUUUUUUCGCGUUCUUCCUCUUUCUCUCGCUCUAGCCCCAAGGCCCCCCGGGGGACGUCUUAAUCCCAGAUCAGCUCCUCUGCCAGGAGUCCCGCCGGAGACCCACUGCCCACCCAGCAGACCUGGAGGAAAGAGGGGAGGGUGUGUCCUUGGCGCCCCGGGACGCUGGGAAAACUCGCUGGUCCGCCGCCAGCCCUCUCCUCCUCCUCGCCUCCUCCCUCCCUACCACCACCCGGACAAAGACGUCUCGAUCGCGUUUCCCCACUCCAGGCCGCAGUAAUAGAUCGCUCCGGCAGCAGGCGGUUUGAAAGGAAUUCAUUAGGACGCUGCCUGGAUUGCCUCCCCUGACUUCACGCCCAGACCCCGAGGUGGCUUAGGCAGUGUGAGGGGAAAUGAAUUCCCUUUGGGAUCCAUGGAGAAGGAGGUGUCUGUGGGAUCUCCAGGCUCUAUCCCUCCUUCUUCACUCCCAGAAAAGAAGAAAAAGAAAAAAAAAAUCGAAGCCCAGGGCAAAAGGCUGAUAUCUUUAUGAGCAUAAUAAAUACUCCCCCUCAUUAUGAGAUAGUUACAGUGACACAGCCUUGGGUGCCAUUACCCUGUUUUUUGAAUACUAAGAAACGCUCCAUUCCUUCCUUGAUUUACGUGGCUACAGCCGGGGCCCUUCCGGCUUGCCACUGACAUGCCGGGGGAAGCUGUUAUUCAUUUUACCUAGGCAGGUUUGCCAUGCACUUUGCUAUUUCGCCGCAAAAAUAUUGUUCUAGGGACUUUUGUCGCCUGAUUACCCUCUGAGAGGCAGGGAUUCCUUUGAUUAUUUUGGUGAUUAUUCUACAUUUAAAGUUCAGCAAGAAGAUUUAGGUCCGUCGAAUUAUAGCUGCACUUGAAAUAAUUUGAUGGCAUGUUAUUUGCAUCCAUAAAUUGCCAUAGCAAGUAUUGACUGCAGGGGUUAUAAUACUAAUCUUUUAUUAGUGAGUUCAGAUAAUUCCCAUCAAUAUGAAUUUUAUUUACUAGUGCCUUUUUCGCAAAUGCAAUGCAGUAAUACUUUCUCAUCUAAUGCUUAGCUGCUUAGAAAACGACUGUUCGUGUCAUAAAAGGAUCCUUGUGUUUCGGCGUGAUUAACAAGAUGCAUUCGGGGCACCUCAGCUACCUGCAAAGCGUUCAGAGCGUGGGGACUGCGGAUAAUAAAAGCCUUUAGAGUUUUUCCUCGGCUCCUCGGAUAGAUUUAUGGACAGGAGCGAUAGAUGCAUGGCUUAUCCAUCCUCCGGAUUCCUACCUGCUUAGCUCGUAACAGCCUCAAACUGCAGAGUCCUCCGUGACUCAGCUCGGCCCAGUCUACGCGGGAAAAUCACCGGGCACAGAUGUUUGCAACUUGGUCCCCUCCCCCCUCCAAUUAGGAAAAAUGAAGGGCGCACCCGAAGGGAGAGCUGGGUCCUCCAACUCCAGUUAACUUCGUGAACUUCCCUCCCCUCUUCCCCCCUAGAUGAAGAUAGCUCAGCCCCUGGGCACUUCACUCGACAGGUGCUAGGCUAGUGUCAGGUUCAGAUGAUGCCACUUAAAACCUCAGACAUUCCGAAAAAGUGAUGGUAAUUAAGUUGGCCCCUCGCUUCGGGGUUGUCCCAGGCUGCGCUUGCAUGCAGAUGUAUGAAGGUUGAGGGUGAAAUAGAAAACGCACAAGUAAAUGAAUAUUCAUGCAGCAAACUUGUGCUGGCCUGCCCAGCCCAGCCCAGCCCAAUCCGGAGGAGGAAGCACCGCGAAUGGCGCGCUUCGCUGCCGCCGCCAGAGUCGAGGUAACGGGUGGUCGUGGAGAGGGUACGGUGUGGCCACCCGUGGUCUCGGAGGACGCGGGGAAUCCUGCGGGCCUCGAGGGUCUGGCGCUCCCGCCAGUCGCCCAGUCCUAGGCGACAGGCUGGUUUCUCGGGCAACCGAGUUGUUUUUAUUUACAGGGAUUUUGAGAAGCCCGAUCGUUUGGUCAUUGCCGCAGCUCUUGCUCCUGGCAAUAGUUGGGAAAUAACUUGGGAUGGGUUUUAUUUAUGGAAGGGCAAUUGGGAUUCACACCCAGCUAACCCUGAACAGUCCCUCCCGAGCCCAGGACGCACUUACAAAGGGGCGCUUGUGUAAAAUUCCCCAUCAGACACACUAAUUUGCAAGUAGCAGAAAGCAUUGAAGCCUCAUCUUUUUAAACAUUUUAUUCAGCUUUUUUUUUUUUUUAAUCUGAAAGCCCAAAAUAGACUCCAUGUGGUUCUAAGUGAAGUCAGCCCUUGGCUGGCUUUGAAAUAGCUCCUGCAAUUAUGUAAAAGAGCCAUUCACCAACAGGACGGAAUUAAAAGGGAUCUCGCCCGCUUCCCUUUCAUUGCCAACCUCUCAUGUUUGGCUUUUCAAAGCACUUCCAACACGAUGUCUUUCUCCAGGACAAAAGGCAGAACAAAAAAAGUCCCCAAACUUGUAAAUUGAACGUCAAGGGAACUUUAAACAAUUUAAAGCCCAUAAAUAAUGAUAAAGGGGACUGGCAAAAAAGGCAAACCCAUUCAAUUAAUAGAGUUUCCCAAGCAAAGAUCAAGUGGUUUAUAAAAUAAAAGUCUUUGGUUUCAUUAUUCUGCUCCUUGACCAUGCAGAAAGCAGGACAGGGGGUUUUCUAAAGCUCCCUGAAGAAGAAACACUUUGCGGGACUGUGUGUGCUGCGACAUUCUUAUGUAGAAACUUUGCUUUUUGUCCCCCACCCUCAAAGUAGCAGAAACAAAACAACCGCAAAAUAGAAAUGUGAAGGGGAGGGGCUUUUCUUCUUCUUCAUUUCCUCCUGGGAGUUGAAAAAUGUUAUCCGCAGGCCUGAAGGCUGGGAAACGUGACCCUUCACACCUGCGCCGCCCUCUCCACUCCAGCGACGAGGAACAGGAGGAGCCACAGCCGCUCGGCCCGCGAGGCGAGCCCUCGUGGCAUCUGGGAAUGGGAGGGUGGGGGUGGAAUGCUACACAGCCCCGGAGCCCCUGGGGCGGCGGGCGCUGUCGCGCCGACGGCGCACCCGGCGAGCGUUGCGUGCGCUUGGAGCCCGGGACUACCCCAACUCCACGCGGAACUCGGCUCCCCCGGCCGGGAUCCAGAUGUCCGAGGGCGCUUGCGGGUGUCCUAGUUCUUUUUCAGAGCAGCCGUAACGAUUGAGGCUGGGGAGUUCAAGACCACUGGGGGUAACUGAUCGCCCAUCGCCCUUCGUCCUGGAAGCCCAGCGCCCGCGCUCACCGCGCGUCUCUCCGGGAGCACCUAGCCAGGCAAAGGGGGAUUCUCCGUGGGGACUGAGGCGUACGCCCGCCCCGGGGCUCCCGGCUUGGGAAGAGGGAGCACCAGGCGAAGGCCAGGCUGGGGGCUCGGGUCCAAGGGCUGCAGCU
rnacentral:lncRNA from 10 species